AAAACAUAAACUAACGCUGGCGGCGUGCCUAACACAUGCAAGUCGUACGAGAAAGUUGGCUUCGGCCGAUGAGUAAAGUGGCGCACGGGUGAGUAACGCGUGGAUAAUCUACCCCUCAGUUGGGAAUAACUCAUCGAAAGGUGGGCUAAUACCGAAUAAUACUGCAUGACUUCUGUUGUAUAGUCAAAGAUGGCCUCUGCUUGCAAGCUAUCGCUGAAGGAUGAGUCCGCGUACCAUUAGCUAGUUGGUAGGGUAAUGGCCUACCAAGGCAACGAUGGUUAGCUGGUCUGAGAGGAUGAUCAGCCACACUGGAACUGAGACACGGUCCAGACUCCUACGGGAGGCAGCAGUGAGGAAUAUUGCGCAAUGGGGGCAACCCUGACGCAGCAACGCCGCGUGAGUGAGGAAGGUUUUCGGACCGUAAAGCUCUGUCGAGCGGGAAGAAAUGCAUAGUGGCUAAUAUCCAUUAUGCUUGACGGUACCGCUAAAGGAAGCACCGGCUAACUCCGUGCCAG
rnacentral:rRNA from 1 species